rnacentral:rRNA from 1 species
UACGUAGGGGGCAAGCGUUGUCCGGAUUUAUUGGGCGUAAAGAGCGUGUAGGCGGUUAGGUAGGUCCGUUGUGAAAACUCGAGGCUCAACCUCGAGACGCCGAUGGAAACCAUCUGACUAGAGUCCGGAAGAGGAGAGUGGAAUUCCCGGUGUAGCGGUGAAAUGCGCAGAUAUCGGGAAGAACACCCGUGGCGAAGGCGGUUCUCUGGGACGGUACUGACGCUGAGACGCGAAAGCGUGGGGAGCGAACAGG